rnacentral:rRNA from 1 species
CCUACGGGUGGCAGCAGUGGGGAAUAUUGCACAAUGGGGGAAACCCUGAUGCAGCGACGCCGCGUGAGUGAAGAAGUAUCUCGGUAUGUAAAGCUCUAUUAGCAGGGAAGAAAAUGACGGUACCUGACUAAGAAGCCCCGGCUAACUACGUGCCAGCAGCCGCGGUAAUACGUAGGGGGCAAGCGUUACCCGGAUUUACGGGGUGUAAAGGGAGCGUAGACGGCAGCACAAGUCUGGAGGGAAAUCCCGGGGCUAAACCCCGGAACUGGUUUGGAGAUGGUGGGGCUGAGUGCAGGAGGGGUAAGCGGAAUUCCUGGUGUAGCGGUGAAAUGCGUAGAUAUUAGGAGGAACACCGGUGGCGAAGGCGGCUUACUGGACUGUAACUGACGUUGAGGCUCGAAAGCGUGGGGAGCAAACAGGAUUAGAUACCCCAGUAGUC